rnacentral:rRNA from 1 species
UACGAAGGGGGCUAGCGUUGUUCGGAAUCACUGGGCGUAAAGGGCACGUAGGCGGAUUUGUUAGUCAGGGGUGAAAUCCCGGGGCUCAACCUCGGAACUGCCUUUGAUACUGCAGAUCUAGAGUCCGGAAGAGGUAAGUGGAAUUCCUAGUGGAGAGGUGAAAUUCGUAGAUAUUAGGAAGAACACCAGUGGCGAAGGCGGCUUACUGGACUGUUACUGACGCUGAGGCUCGAAAGCGUGGGGAGCAAACAGG